rnacentral:rRNA from 1 species
UACGAAGGGGACUAGCGUUGUUCGGAAUUACUGGGCGUAAAGCGCACGUAGGCGGAUUUGUCAGUCAGAGGUGAAAUCCCGGGGCUCAACCUCGGAACUGCCUUUGAUACAGCAAGUCUAGAAUCCGGUAGAGGUGGGUGGAAUUCCUAGUGUAGAGGUGAAAUUCGUAGAUAUUAGGAAGAACACCGGUGGCGAAGGCGGCCCACUGGACCGGUAUUGACGCUGAGGUGCGAAAGCGUGGGGAGCAAACAGG